UACGUAGGGUGCGAGCGUUGUCCGGAAUUAUUGGGCGUAAAGGGCUCGUAGGCGGUUUGUCGCGUCGGGAGUGAAAACUCAGGGCUUAACCCUGAGCCUGCUUCCGAUACGGGCAGACUAGAGGUAUGCAGGGGAGAGCGGAAUUCCUGGUGUAGCGGUGAAAUGCGCAGAUAUCAGGAGGAACACCGGUGGCGAAGGCGGUUCUCUGGGCAUUACCUGACGCUGAGACACGAAAGCCAGGGGAGCGAACGGG
rnacentral:rRNA from 1 species